UUGCUGUGGUAUUUUGACUAUACGAAGGUAUUGAAAUAAGAUUUUAAAUGAGUGCUAAGAGAAUGAUUAAACAAUUAAAAGCUUUCUUUAAUUGAAUAAUUGAAUUUAAUUUUUUAGUGCAAAAGCAAAAAUAAAAAUUAGGGACAAGAAGACCCUAUGAAUUUUUUAUUAAAUUUUAUAUAAAGUUUUAUAAAAUUUAAUUUAAUUGGGGUGAUGGAAAAAGAAUAAAUAUCUUUUUUUUAAAAAAAAUUGGUUCCGUUUUUAGCGAUUAAAUGAAAAAAAUACUCUAGGGAUAACAGCGUAAUAAUUUUGGAUAGUUCAUAUAGAUAAAAUAGUUUGCGACCUCGAUGUUGGAUUAGGAU
rnacentral:rRNA from 1 species